rnacentral:rRNA from 1 species
UACGAAGGGUGCAAGCGUUACUCGGAAUUACUGGGCGUAAAGGGCGCGUAGGCGGUCGUUUAAGUCCGUUGUGAAAUCCCUGGGCUCAACCUGGGAAUGGCAGUGGAUACUGGACGGCUGGAGUGCGGUAGAGGGUAGUGGAAUUCCCGGUGUAGCAGUGAAAUGCGUAGAGAUCGGGAGGAACACCAGUGGCGAAGGCGGCUACCUGGACCAGCACUGACACUGAAGCACGAAAGCGUGGGGAGCAAACAGG